GGCACUGUAGCUCAGUUGGUAGAGCACAUGCUUAACAUUAUCUCAAUGGAACGCAUGUUGUCGUCGGUUCGAGCCCGGCCAGAGUCA
rnacentral:tRNA from 1 species